AGUGAACGCUGGCGGUAGGCCUAACACAUGCAAGUCGAACGGCAGCACAGUAAGAGCUUGCUCUUACGGGUGGCGAGUGGCGGACGGGUGAGGAAUACAUCGGAAUCUACUUUUUCGUGGGGGAUAACGUAGGGAAACUUACGCUAAUACCGCAUACGACCUACGGGUGAAAGCAGGGGAUCUUCGGACCUUGCGCGAUUGAAUGAGCCGAUGUCGGAUUAGCUAGUUGGCGGGGUAAAGGCCCACCAAGGCGACGAUCCGUAGCUGGUCUGAGAGGAUGAUCAGCCACACUGGAACUGAGACACUGUCCAGACUCCUACGGGAGGCAGCAGUGGGGAAUAUUGGACAAUGGGCGCAAGCCUGAUCCAGCCAUACCGCGUGGGUGAAGAAGGCCUUCGGGUUGUAAAGCCCUUUUGUUGGGAAAGAAAAGCAGCAGGUUAAUACCCCGCUGUUCUGACGGUACCUAAAGAAUAAGCACCGGCUAACUUCGUG
rnacentral:rRNA from 1 species